rnacentral:rRNA from 1 species
GAUGAACGCUGGCGGCGUGCUUAACACAUGCAAGUCGAACGAAGCACUUUAUUUGAUUUCCUUCGGGACUGAUUAUUUUGUGACUGAGUGGCGGACGGGUGAGUAACGCGUGGGUAACCUGCCUUGUACAGGGGGAUAACAGUUGGAAACGGCUGCUAAUACCGCAUAAGCGCACGGCAUCGCAUGAUGCAGUGUGAAAAACUCCGGUGGUAUAAGAUGGACCCGCGUUGGAUUAGCUAGUUGGUGAGGUAACGGCCCACCAAGGCGACGAUCCAUAGCCGACCUGAGAGGGUGACCGGCCACAUUGGGACUGAGACACGGCCCAAACUCCUACGGGAGGCAGCAGUGGGGAAUAUUGCACAAUGGGCGAAAGCCUGAUGCAGCGACGCCGCGUGAGCGAAGAAGUAUCUCGGUAUGUAAAGCUCUAUCAGCAGGGAAGAUAAUGACGGUACCUGACUAAGAAGCACCGGCUAAAUACGUG